rnacentral:rRNA from 1 species
CGAUUUAAAAGUCGUAACAAGGUUUCCGUAGGUGAACCUGCGGAAGGAUCAUUAACGAUCGAUGGUGUAGGAGUCCGUCUCCCGUGUGAACUGUACUCGAAUGCUAUUCUUGCGAUACGUUUUGGGGGGGUCGACCUAGCGGUCGUCAAAUGCUGUGUGCGUAGCAGUCAGCCCCCCCACGUUCGCAUGUCUUUGUUUUCCAUCCAGUUUAUCAAAAUGGUGAGAAUGAUCGAAAGAUACGUAAAAAAUGAGAGAAAACAACUCAGAACGGUGGAUCUCUUGGCUCACGCAUCGAUGAAGAACGCAGCCAACUGCGAUAAGUAGUGUGAAUUGCAGAAGACAGUGAAUCAUCGAAUCUUUGAACGCAAAUGGCGCUCUCGGGCCCUGGUCCCGGGAGCAUGUCUGUCUGAGGGUCGAAUACACUAUGUGUCUUUCUUCUUUUGCGAGGAAAGAUGGUGUUGAGGUGUCACGGCCGACCCUCGUACCUAGGAACAGGCCGUGUCCCUUGAAGUGUAGAAUGCCGGUGGACGACCGCGACUCGUUCAUCGCCCACCGACAAAGAGAGAGGAACAAACACUCGAGUAUGACCUCAGAUCAGGCAAGACUACCCGCUGAAUUUAAGCAUAUCAAUAAGCG